rnacentral:rRNA from 1 species
AUUGAACGCUGGCGGCAGGCCUAACACAUGCAAGUCGAACGGUAACAGAAAGCAGCUUGCUGCUUUGCUGACGAGUGGCAGACGGGUGAGUAAUGUCUGGGAAACUGCCUGAUGGAGGGGGAUAACUACUGGAAACGGUAGCUAAUACCGCAUAACGUCGCAAGACCAAAGAGGGGGACCUUCGGGCCUCUUGCCAUCGGAUGUGCCCAGAUGGGAUUAGCUAGUAGGUGGGGUAACGGCUCACCUAGGCGACGAUCCCUAGCUGGUCUGAGAGGAUGACCAGCCACACUGGAACUGAGACACGGUCCAGACUCCUACGGGAGGCAGCAGUGGGGAAUAUUGCACAAUGGGCGCAAGCCUGAUGCAGCCAUGCCGCGUGUAUGAAGAAGGCCUUCGGGUUGUAAAGUACUUUCAGCGGGGAGGAAGGGAGUAAAGUUAAUACCUUUGCUCAUUGACGUUACCCGCAGAAGAAGCACCGGCUAACUCCGUG